GAUUGAUUGCAUUUUCGAAAUAAAAUAUAUUAAAAAAAAUAGAUAAUGAGUUGAUGAUAAUAAAUGUUGUUUUAAACCGAGAUAAUUAGGGUACUAAAAAUUGCAGGACAAAUUUUCAUUGUCCUCUGUUGCAAGUUAAUGUUCAUUGCCUACCACAUGAAAGUGUGAUAAAUUUCACUUUUUAUGAAGAGGAAAUUUUACCCUCCUUUCCCCUUUUCCACCCACUUAGAAGUUAGAAAGCUUUACAAGUCAAAUAAGUUGAGGAGAGGAAUCCCCUUUCAUUUUUGUUCUUUUCUUCUAAUUCCUCUUUUUGCCACAUUAUUGUCCCCUAUGACCUAAAAAUGGAUUUUUAUUGAACAAUGUUACCACAUGCCCCAACCACUGAAAAAUGUGAAACAUUUGUUUAAGGAUAAAUAAAGAUAAGAAAUUAUAUUUUUUAUAACAUAUUUAAUAAAAUCAUUUUUUUGGUAGACAGUAUUGGCAGAAUAUUACUUGAUAUUACAGAGUAAGGUUUGCCUUAUGUAGGGUGUGUUUAGCAUUACUGUUAGAGUUGUUGUUAAGAAAAACACUUUCUUAAAUAUAU
rnacentral:misc_RNA from 1 species